CUAGUUAUCUUGGUGCAGUGA
rnacentral:piRNA from 1 species